GAUGAACGCUGGCGGCGUGCCUAAUACAUGCAAGUCGAGCGAACAGACGAGGAGCUUGCUUCUCUGACGUUAGCGGCGGACGGGUGAGUAACACGUGGAUAACCUACCUAUAAGACUGGGAUAACUUCGGGAAACCGGAGCUAAUACCGGAUAAUAUUUUGAACCGCAUGGUUCAAUAGUGAAAGACGGUUUUGCUGUCACUUAUAGAUGGAUCCGCGCUGCAUUAGCUAGUUGGUAAGGUAACGGCUUACCAAGGCAACGAUGCGUAGCCGACCUGAGAGGGGGAUCGGCCACACGGGAACUGAGACACGGUCCAGACUCCUACGGGAGGCAGCAGUAGGGAAUCGUCCGCAAUGGGCGAAAGCCUGACGGAGCAACGCCGAGUGAGUGAUGAAGGUCUUCGGAUCGUAAAACUCUGUUAUUAGGGAAGAACAGAUGUGUAAGUAACUGUGCACGUCUUGACGGUACCUAAUCAGAAAGCCACGGCUAACUACGUG
rnacentral:rRNA from 1 species